rnacentral:sRNA from 1 species
CAAGCUGCGCUGGGACCCAGCUGACUACGAGAAUGUCACCUCCAUCCGCAUCCCCUCUGAGCUCAUCUGGCGGCCGGACAUCGUCCUCUACAACGGAGAAGUGGAAACGCCCAGGAUGGGCCGGGCAGAGAAGCCACUCUGGGUGCCUGUACACAGCCCUCCAGGAAUGCAGCCCCCAGGAACGAAGCCUCUG